rnacentral:sRNA from 1 species
GACAACGGUAGUGCGGCGUGGGCCCAAGA